rnacentral:rRNA from 1 species
AGUCGAGCGAGAAAGUAUCUUCGGAUAUGAGUAGAGCGGCGGACGGGUGAGUAACGCGUAGGAAUCUACCUAGUAGAAGGGGAUAGCCCGAGGAAACUCGGAUUAAUACCGUAUACCUCCUAACGGAGAAAGAGGGCCUCUCUUGAUGCUCUCGCUAUUAGAUGAGCCUGCGUAAGAUUAGCUUGUUGGUGAGGUAAUGGCUUACCAAGGCUACGAUCUUUAGCUGGUCUGAGAGGACGAUCAGCCACAUUGGGACUGAGACACGGCCCAGACUCCUACGGGAGGCAGCAGUGGGGAAUAUUGGACAAUGGGCGAAAGCCUGAUCCAGCCAUACCGCGUGUGUGAAGAAGGCCUUAGGGUUGUAAAGCACUUUAAGCAGGGAGAAAAAGUUAUAAGUUAAUACCUUAUAACCUUGAUGUUACCUGCAGAAUAAGCACCGGCUAAUUCCGUGCCAGCAGCCGCGGUAAUACGGAAGGUGCAAGCGUUAAUCGGAAUUACUGGGCGUAAAGCGCGCGUAGGUGGUUUGUUAAGUUGGAUGUGAAAGCCCUGGGCUCAACCUAGGAACUGCAUCCAAAACUAAUUCACUAGAGUACGAUAGAGGGAGGUAGAAUUCAUAGUGUAGCGGUGGAAUGCGUAGAUAUUAUGAAGAAUACCAGUGGCGAAGGCGGCCUCCUGGAUCUGUACUGACACUAAGGUGCGAAAGCGUGGGUAGCGAACAGGAUUAGAUACCCUGGUAGUCCACGCCGUAAACGAUGACAACUAGCUGUUGGGAAACAAUGUUUUUCAGUGGCGCAGCUAACGUUUUAAGUUGUCCGCCUGGGGAGUACGGCCGCAAGGCUAAAACUCAAAUGAAUUGACGGGGACCCGCACAAGCGGUGGAGCAUGUGGUUUAAUUCGAUGCAACGCGAAAAACCUUACCUACUCUUGACAUACUUGGAAGCUCUUGU